AGUGAAUAAAAUGUACAAAAUGAGGCUCUACCACAUUCAAAGUUUUCAUUAAAUGGACCUUACAAGGACACACCCCAAAUUCCCACUACCAGAGUGACCUCCAUCUCUCUUCACAAGUAAGUAAGUUUAUGUUUUAUUUCUCAUUUUGCAAUAAAAAUUGGUAUUGGUUAACUAUUUAUGUAGCAUCUAUUUGGGCUAUAUCUAAAAUCUGAGGGCUAUUUCCCCCUCAGUGUGUGAAUAUCUGGUGCCCAACUAAUGGCCCCUCAAUAGAAGGACAGUUGUUAAAUCAUUUGACUAUAUUUAAAUUAAAAAAAAAAGUUUUUUACUCUAGAAAUCUCAUGUGGUCUUUAUUUCCAAAUGGGAGGCCCCCAUAUCUAACACCUUAGAUUAAAACUUGAACCUUCUUGGACAAUAAACUCCAUGAAAGCAGGGAUGCUUGUCUUGUCUUAAUAUUAUACCCCAGCAUCUUAGCAUGGUAGGAAAUAAUAGGUAGGAAAAAAAUCUAAAAUAAAUAAAUCUCCAAAUAAAAAUAAAUGUUGAACAAAUCCAGUAGAAAGUAAAACCCUUUUGUCUUUUUCACAAAGAAAUAAUUUCUUUGCUUUAUUUUCUCUUUAGACUCUUCAUUUAAGAAUCUUUUUGGAAUUAUAAAAAAAUUUAUACUGCAAAUACCCAUUUUUGUCUAUUACUUUCCCCUUCUCUUUCCUUGCACAACCUAAGGACAGCAGUGAAUCUGUAUAGUCUUGUGGAAAGUAAUGAUAUGUCCAAGAAACAGCAGAGGUAAAUAUGGACAAGAAGUGGGUGGAACUGGAAACGUACAAUUUCAGGAGAAUUUUCUUCAGAGUUUUUGAGCCGAUAUUCAUGAUUUACAAGAUUUGUUUUGGACACUCUAUACCCAGUCUGGAGCCCAAGGCAAGGCCCAAACCCAUGACUCUGAGGUCAAGACCCAAACCAAGAUCAGAGUCAGAUGCUUAGCCAACUGAGCCACACAGGCUCCCUGUAUGCUAUCUCUUAAUUAAAGAAGUUAUUUUAAUUAUUAUAGAGUGAUGGGAUCUGAUCAUUUCUAUGUAAACAUAUAUAGUAAGAAGCUGGACAGAUACAAUUCUUUUAAAAAUAUUAACCUCGGUUCUAAGGGCUUAAGAUGACUACUCAUUUCUCUCAUUAAAAAAUAGCUCUCCUAUGUUUAUACGUUACCCUGUAAUCAUGUUGCUGAAAAGCAUUCUAGAACUGCAUUUUCCAUCACUAUUCACUUAGUAUUCUUUUUCUUAUAUACUUGACAGCUACAUGCAUGCCUUCUUUAGCAGCAGCCAUUUUCAUUUUAUGAACCUUAAAUCUUGGAUGAUCUCAGCUGGUGCUUAAGCUUCUCAUUCCUAUACAGCUUAUUGGAAUUCUAGACUCUCUGGUGACUGACCUAUUGUGGACCUGUGGACAUGAAAUGGUU
rnacentral:lncRNA from 1 species